UACGAACGGUCCAAACGUUAUUCGGAAUCACUGGGCUUAAAGCGUCCGUAGGCGGCUCGGAAAGUAGGGUGUGAAAUCCCACGGCUCAACCGUGGAAUUGCGCUCUAAACUAUCGAGCUAGAGGGAGAUAGAGGUGAGCGGAACUGAUGGUGGAGCGGUGAAAUGCGUUGAUAUCAUCAGGAACACCGGAGGCGAAGGCGGCUCACUGGGUCUUUUCUGACGCUGAGGGACGAAAGCUAGGGGAGCGAACGGGAGUUAGAAAC
rnacentral:rRNA from 1 species